rnacentral:lncRNA from 1 species
AGUGGCAGCAGCAGCCAUGGGGAAGCCGGGCGUGGAGGCAGCACCGGGCUCGGAGCUGGCCAGGGUUCCCUAGCCUAUGGAGCACGCAGCCACCACAGGCCCCAGGCCUGGACCUCCCUCUCGGCGGGUGGAGAAUGUUGUGCUACGAGCCAAGGACUGGCUGCCAGGAGCUCCUGGGGGCACCGCAGUGUGGGCCACCAGCUUGGAAGCAGAGGUCCCACCAGAUCUAGCGCUCAAUAAGGAGCAGCAGCUGCAGAUCUCCAAGGAGCUGGUCGACAUUCAGAUCACAACCCACCACCUACAUGAGCAGCAUGAGGCUGAAAUCUUCCAGCUGAAGAGUGAGGUGCAGCCCAAGAACACCAUGAACCCCGAGAAUGAGCAGCACAGGCUGGGGAGCGGCGUGAGUGUGCAGCCACCUAGCUCAGGGGAGAGGGCAGCACCAGAGACCCCAAGCCUAGGGUCUCAUCCAGCCAGCCCUGUGUGCCCCACAGCUGCAGGGGGAAGUGAAGUGGGCGCUGGAGCAUCAGGAGGCCCGGCAGCAGGCACUGGUGACGCGUGUGUGAGUGGCCAUCUCACCUGGGGCCCCAUCCUGGAGCAGAGAGAACCCCUGAUCGUGGGCCUGCUGAGCCUCACCCCCGUGUCUUCAGGGCAACCCUGGGCCGGCAGCUGCAGGGAGCCCGAGAGGAGGCCAGGGCAGCCGGGCAGCGACUGGCCACACAGGCUGUGGUGAGGCUCUGCCCUGACUGCUUGGAGACCUGGAGGGUGGGGGCCCCAGAAGCUCAGCCGGGGUCCACUCUCAGGGCACAGGUGGAGGGCUGCUUCCACCCCAGGUGCUGUGCAGCUGCCAAGGCCAGCUCCGUCAGGCAGAGGCUGAAAAUGCCCGGCUGCAGCUGCAGCUCAAGAAACUGAAGGAUGAGUACGUCCUACGGCUGCAACACUGCGCCUGGCAGGCAGUGGUGAGCCCUGCAGGAGCACCCUGAGGCCUAGGGAGCCCAAGCCUGGCCUGGGUGUGCUGGAUAGCUUCAGGGAGACCCCAGGGCCCCGGCACUGCUCAGCCUGCUGGGGUGGGGGGAUGGUUGGAAAAGAUGGGGGGUGGGCCCCAUGCGGACCCAGCCCGCCGCCUCCAGGAGCACGCAGAUGGUGCAGGCCAAGCGCCAGCCACCACGGCCCUCCGGACAUUCCUGGAGGCGACUCUGGAGGACAUCCGGGCAGCGCACCGCAGCCGUGAGCAGCAGCUGGCCCGGGCUGCCCGCAGCUACCACAAGAGGCUGGUGGAUCUGAGCCGCAGGCAUGAAGAGCUACUGGUUGCCUACAGGUGGGCCCCGCUGGGAUGGGAGGUGUCAGGCAUCUGUGGGUCUCUAAGCCUCUGUGCCUCAAAGGCUUGGUGUGCAGCAGGAGUGGCCCCAGACAGACACUAGCCUACCCUGACAGGGCACCUGGGAACCCCCAAGCUAUUUUUGACAUAGCCAGCUUGGACCUGGAACCAUUGCCCGUGCCCCUGGUCACUGACUUCAGCCAUCGGGAGGACCAGGUGAGGCUAGAGACCCCCAGAAGCUCCAGGCCCGGGUGCCCCCCACCCACCCACUGCCCCACACUGGCCCCAGGCCUCAUCCUGGGCUCAACAGAGACCUCAGCCCCGGGCCUCUGAGGGGCUUGCCUUGUUCAGCCAACUGAAACGUCCCCACCACAAACCUCUGUAGCACGGCGGGCCUGGGGCACUGCUCUCAUCCCCAAAAAAGAGACCCGGUGGAGCCUCCCAGGGGGGAACAUCAGAGCCACAGUGAGUGCCCUCAUGGGUGUGGGGGAGGCCUGUGGGGGAUGAGCAGAGAGCACAACGCCUGCACCCUGGGGCCCCCAGUUGCUCCACCAAGCCCCCGCCAGACAGGGUCUGGUCACAGCAAUGCACUCAGUGGCACAUCCCCACCCUGGGGUCCCUCCGUGGGUCCCGGCGACACUGAUAAUCACAGGAAAGAGAAGAGGGGCUGCUGCAGGUGGAGCUGGCCUUGAACACGGAGGAUCAGGGAGAGCACACCUGAGGGAGGUUUCCGCUGAGACCUGGAGGACGCGAGGGGUGGGAGCAGGGCGCCUGGUGACCGGGCCAGCCCUUGCCUCUGGGCCUCCAUGUUCCCAGCUGUACAAUGGGCAGGGCUCCCCAAGGACCAUUUCCUGGGGUUUAGGGCACACCCGUGUGGGGGUGGCAUCCCUGUUGAUGCUGGAGUCACUGUCUGGGCUGGCCUUGUGGUUUAGCCCUCCCCCAGCAGCCAGCAGACCCCCUGGGCCCGGGCUGUCCCUAUACACGGAUGGCUCCAAGGCCUGGGGGGGGCGCCACAGGAGCACGGGGGGGGCCCAUGCCUCCCUCACUCACUCCCAGGUGUCCCCUCCCGGCUCUGGGAACCUGACUCAGCACGGUCACGUCUGUCCCUGUGUCACCAUGCCAGCUCUCAAAACCACUCCUCCUUUCCUCUCCCCUCACAGGGGCCUGGACGCUGCAUCCUGGGCCCAGAUCCACCAGAAGCUCCGGGACUUCUCCCGCAGCACCCAGGUAGGAGGCAAGGGCUGGCCCAGGCCCAUCCUCACGCCAUGCCCCAGCUCAUGGCUUACAUCCCCAUGCCAGGCAGAGCUGGAACGGGAGCGGGCACAGCUGCUGGUCCGGGCCACGAUGGCUGAAGAGCAACUUUCUGAGCUACAGGAGUACGUGGACCAGCACCUGGGCAGGUGGGCAGAGGGAGCUGGGUGUGACCCCAGGGCCCUGGUCUGGUUGGAAUGAAGGAUGAUGGCUGCCUCAGGCGCUAAAAGCAGACCUGUCCACAGCUGGGCAAGUCACUUAAGCAUGGUUCCUCUGAGCAGGUACAAGCACGAAAUCCUGAGGCUGAGGAAGCUGGCAGGUGCAGGGGACCCCUGGAAAGUGGGGGCUGUGCCUCCAGCCAAGCCCCAGCAUCCAAGGACCGGCAGCCACUAGGCCGUCUCCCAAGGAGCAGAGCAGAGCAGAGCUCCUCAGCCAGCACAGAACCCUCCCACCCAGCCCCCCAUAAAACAUGAGUCAGGAUAGAACCC